GACGAACGCUGGCGGCGUGCUUAACACAUGCAAGUCGAACGGAAAGGCCCUGCUUUUGUGGGGUGCUCGAGUGGCGAACGGGUGAGUAACACGUGAGUAACCUGCCCUUGACUUUGGGAUAACUUCAGGAAACUGGGGCUAAUACCGGAUAGGAGCUCCUGCUGCAUGGUGGGGGUUGGAAAGUUUCGGCGGUUGGGGAUGGACUCGCGGCUUAUCAGCUUGUUGGUGGGGUAGUGGCUUACCAAGGCUUUGACGGGUAGCCGGCCUGAGAGGGUGACCGGGCACAUUGGGACUGAGGUACGGCCCAGACUCCUACGGGAGGCAGCAGUGGGGAAUAUUGCACAAUGGGCGGAAGCCUGAUGCAGCAACGCCGCGUGCGGGAUGACGGCCUUCGGGUUGUAAACCGCUUUCGCCUGUGACGAAGCGUGAGUGACGGUAAUGGGUAAAGAAGUACCGGCUAACUACGUG
rnacentral:rRNA from 1 species